AUUACGGGAGGCAGCAGUGGGGAAUAUUGGACAAUGGGGGCAACCCUGAUCCAGCAAUGCCGCGUGUGUGAAGAAGACCUGAGGGUUGUAAAGCACUUUUGUUAGGGAGGAUGGUACUCUAUGUUAAGAGCUAGGAGUAUUGACGUUACCUAAAGAAUAAGCAUCGGCUAACUCCGUGCCAGCAGCCGCGGUAAUAAU
rnacentral:rRNA from 1 species